UCGGGUUGUAAACCUCUUUCAGCAGGGAAGAAGCGAAAGUGACGGUACCUGCAGAAGAAGCGCCGGCUAACUACGUGCCAGCAGCCGCGGUAAUACGUAGGGCGCAAGCGUUGUCCGGAAUUAUUGGGCGUAAAGAGCUCGUAGGCGGCUUGUCACGUCGGGUGUGAAAGACCGGGGCUUAACCCCGGUUCUGCAUUCGAUACGGGCUAGCUAGAGUGUGGUAGGGGAGAUCGGAAUUCCUGGUGUAGCGGUGAAAUGCGCAGAUAUCAGGAGGAACACCGGUGGCGAAGGCGGAUCUCUGGGCCAUUACUGACGCUGAGGAGCGAAAGCGUGGGGAGCGAACAGGAUUAGAUACCCUGGUAGUCCACGCCGUAAACGGUGGGAACUAGGUGUUGGCGACAUUCCACGUCGUCGGUGCCGCAGCUAACGCAUUAAGUUCCCCGCCUGGGGAGUACGGCCGCAAGGCUAAAACUCAAAGGAAUUGACGG
rnacentral:rRNA from 1 species